GAUGAACGCUGGCGGCGUGCUUAACACAUGCAAGUCGAACGGUGAAGCAGGAGCUUGCUCUUGCGGAUCAGUGGCGAACGGGUGAGUAACACGUGAGCAACCUGCCCCGGACUCUGGGAUAACAGUUGGAAACAGCUGCUAAUACCGGAUACGAGCUGCGAAGGCAUCUUCAGCAGCUGGAAAGAAUUUCGGUCCGGGAUGGGCUCACGGCCUAU
rnacentral:rRNA from 1 species